UACUUACUUGGUGGAAUGGCAGACACGAGAGAUUUAAAAUUUCUUUUUAUUUUUAAAGUAUUGGUUCAAGUCCAAUAGUAAGUAAC
rnacentral:tRNA from 1 species